rnacentral:rRNA from 1 species
UACGUAGGGGCGAGCGUUGUCCGGAAUGAUUGGGCGUAAAGAGCGCGCAGGUGGUUGAUUAAGUCUGAUGUGAAAGCCCACGGCUUAACCGUGGAGGGUCAUUGGAAACUGGUCGACUUGAGUGCAGAAGAGGGAAGUGGAAUUCCAUGUGUAGCGGUGAAAUGCGUAGAGAUAUGGAGGAACACCAGUGGCGAAGGCGGCUUCCUGGACUUAUACUGACGCUGAGGAACGAAAGCGUGGGGAGCAAACAGGAUUAGAUACCCG